UCCGUUAUGGUGUAGUGGCUAACAUUAUCGCCUCUCAUACAGUUGUACACAAGCAUGCACUACAGCGCGAUAGCCCAGGGUUCGAUUCCCUGUAACGGAA